rnacentral:rRNA from 1 species
GAGUUUGAUCAUGGCUCAGAUUGAACGCUGGCGGCAUGCCUUACACAUGCAAGUCGAACGGUAACAGGUCUUCGGAUGCUGACGAGUGGCGAACGGGUGAGUAAUACAUCGGAACGUGCCCGAUCGUGGGGGGAUAACGAAGCGAAAGCUUUGCUAAUACCGCAUAAGAUCUACGGAUGAAAGCAGGGGACCGCAAGGCCUUGCGCGAACGGAGCGGCCGAUGGCAGAUUAGGUAGUUGGUGGGAUAAAAGCUUACCAAGCCGACGAUCUGUAGCUGGUCUGAGAGGACGACCAGCCACACUGGGACUGAGACACGGCCCAGACUCCUACGGGAGGCAGCAGUGGGGAAUUUUGGACAAUGGGCGAAAGCCUGAUCCAGCCAUGCCGCGUGCAGGAUGAAGGCC